GAUGAACGCUAGCGGCAGGCCUAACACAUGCAAGUCGAGGGAGAAGCCCUUUCGGGGGCAGACACCGGCGCACGGGUGCGUAACGCGUAUGCAACCUACCUUUCACAGGGGGAUAGCCCGAAGAAAUUUGGAUUAAUACCCCAUAAUAUUAUUUGAUGGCAUCAUUUGAUAAUUAAAACUGCGGUGGUGAAAGAUGGGCAUGCGUCCUAUUAGCUAGUUGGAGUGGUAACGGCACCCCAAGGCUACGAUAGGUAGGGGUCCUGAGAGGGAGCUCCCCCACACUGGUACUGAGACAGGGACCAGACUCCUACGGGAGGCAGCAGUGAGGAAUAUUGGUCAAUGGUCGGAAGACUGAACCAGCCAUGCCGCGUGCAGGAAGAAUGCCUUAUGGGUUGUAAACUGCUUUUAUAUGGGAAGAAUAAGGCGUACGUGUACGUUGAUGACGGUACCAUAUGAAUAAGCAUCGGCUAACUCCGUG
rnacentral:rRNA from 1 species